rnacentral:piRNA from 1 species
UAUUCUUUUCCGAAGUAGAUUCAGCC